GACGAACGUUGGCGGCGUGCUUAACACAUGCAAGUCGAACGGAAAGGCCCUGCUUGCAGGGUACUCGAGUGGCGAACGGGUGAGUAACACGUGGGUGAUCUGCCCUGCACUUCGGGAUAAGCCUGGGAAACUGGGUCUAAUACCGGAUAGGAGCCAUUUUUAGUGUGAUGGUUGGAAAGUUUUUUCGGUGUAGGAUGAGCUCGCGGCCUAUCAGCUUGUUGGUGGGGUAAUGGCCUACCAAGGCGGCGACGGGUAGCCGGCCUGAGAGGGUGGACGGCCACAUUGGGACUGAGAUACGGCCCAGGCUCCUACGGGAGGCAGCAGUGGGGAAUAUUGCACAAUGGGCGCAAGCCUGAUGCAGCGACGCCGCGUGGGGGAUGACGGCCUUCGGGUUGUAAACUCCUUUCGCUAGGGACGAAGCUUUUUGUGACGGUACCUAGAUAAGAAGCACCGGCUAACUACGUG
rnacentral:rRNA from 1 species